rnacentral:misc_RNA from 1 species
GCUUCUAUGCUCCCAUGGCUUUUAACAAGCUGCUCAUAUAGGUGGGCAGCAUCUUCCUCCCGCCCAUGCCUGAUCUUGAAGGAAGCAGCUUCUUGCAUUAUAACAUUGAGCUUGUUGUCCUCAGUCAUAGCAUUUGACCACCAUUUGAUUGCAGAGUCAAGGAUGGCAGAUGCACCAUCAAUAUCUCCAGCCCGCUCUUUAAGAGCCAUGAUGGUGGCAACAGUGGCAGGCAUGUGCUGAAUAUCAGGUAUCUUAGCCAGGGAGUCGGCUGCAAUUUGAGGAUGGCCCGCAGCAGCAGCAAUUUGUGCCCUUGCAAG